rnacentral:lncRNA from 1 species
GUUUUUCUCUAAGCGCUGCUGCUGGGUGCUGUGAGGGAAGCUCUAGCAAGUUGCUAAUUCGCGACAUGGUGAGUGCAGAGCCACUGCCCACAGAGGGAAGGAGCAGGCAGUUGUGUAGCAGAAGUUGGUAUGGUGGCUUGUCCCUGGGUCUGGGUGGUAAGUGUGGCCAGAUCUGACCACCUGUUACUUCCCUUUUUGUCCUAGUCAUUCCCUGAACCCAGCGGUGGGCUGUGAAUAACUUCACUAUGAGGGCGGCAUCUGCUCAAAGCAUCUGGCUCAGAGACUUGUGUGUGGAAACAUCCUUAGCAGGAUGUCAAACUCAGAGAGGCCUAGUUUCUCUACUUCUAAAAGUUAACUCCCCCAUCAUUUAACAUUUAGCUGUAAGACCUAUUUGGAGUUAAUUCUGUAGAAGUUAUAAAAGGCAUCUCAUGUUGGGUAGCACUCCCAUAUCAAACUGUGGUGUAGAAGAGUAGAAUUGAUGAUGUUAAAGGAUUUACCAAUGCUUAGGAGAUAGUUAAGCGACAGCAAGUAGAGUUUAGCUGAGGGAGGAAUGCCUCUGAGACACCCUACAGAUAAGUAGUGUGCUAACCAGACCCGUUAGAGAUCAGGAUGCUAGGAUAGAUAUAUUUGUUCACUAGGAUUGUCCAGAAAAGUGCUCCAGUGCUUAACAAAGGAGGCUACUCUGAUUGACAACCAGCCACUAGGGCCAUCCUCAUAGCAAAGAACUGGCUGCUCAAGGGAGCGUUAUAGAGUCCCAAUCAACAUUAAAGGCUGUUUAUCACAAAGUGCUGCUAGUUUUCUUCUUGAGAAAAAGCAUAGUUCUGCCAUAUUCGCAGGAGAACACCGGCUGGCAACUCUUUGAAAAGGGAAAACACUGUUGGGUCCAGGACUGGCUUGAUCAAGCAAGGCUUUCUGUGAGGCCCUUAUGUAUAGAAAAUGGCAUAGCUCUUUCUCAAACCCAGGAACAUGCUUGACAGAGCCAGGUAGGCCCUCAUGUAUUGAGAGUAAAAUAGAACUUUUCUUUUUCUUUUUCCUUUUUUUCUUCCUUUGUCUUUAUUAUUAGUAGUAAUUAUUUUACUUAUUUACAUUCAAAUGUUGUCCCUUCCUGGUCUCCCCUCCACAACCUCC